UUUGAAACACCAGUUCUCGUACAAUCACUGAAGUUAAGCAACAUCAAACCUAGUUAGUACCUAGAUGGGUGACUGCUUGGGAAUACCAGGUUAUG
rnacentral:rRNA from 1 species